rfam:Gossypium hirsutum cultivar TM-1 unplaced genomic scaffold scaffold699.1, whole genome shotgun sequence
UAUUAAAAAUUUCAUCCAUUUCUAUUAAAAACUGGUGUAGCUGACGAAAUAACUAUACAGUUACACAUAAUAUGCCAUGCACAUCUCAUACCGACAUACAUAAACCAGUUUUUAAUAGUAGAAAUAGAUGAAAUUUUUAACA